CAAUAGCGUAUAUUUAAGUUGCUGCAGUUAAAAAGCUCGUAGUUGGAUUUCGGGUGGGAAUGGCCGGUCCGCCGUUUCGGUGUGCACUUGCUACGCCCACCUUGCUGCCGGGGACGUGCUCUUGAGUUCACGCUCGGGACACGGAGUCGGCGAGGUUACUUUGAGUAAAUUAGAGUGUUCAAAGCAGGCCUACGCUCUGAAUACAUUAGCAUGGAAUAACACGAUAGGACGCUGGCCUAUCUUGUUGGUCUGUAGGACCGGAGUAAUGAUUAAGAGGGACAGUCGGGGGCACUCGUAUUUCAUUGUCAGAGGUGAAAUUCUUGGAUUUAUGAAAGACGAACUACUGCGAAAGCAUUUGCCAAGGAUGUUUUCAUUAA
rnacentral:rRNA from 1 species